rnacentral:rRNA from 1 species
GAUGAACGCUGGCGGCGUGCCUAAUACAUGCAAGUCGAGCGAACGGACGAGAAGCUUGCCUCUCUGAUGUUAGCGGCGGACGGGUGAGUAACACGUGGAGAACCUACCUAUAAGACUGGGAUAACUUCGGGAAACCGGAGCUAAUACCGGAUGAUAUUUUGAACCGCAUGGUGCAAAAGUGAAAGACGGUCUUGCUGUCACUUAUAGAUGGAUCCGCGCUGCAUUAGCUAGUUGGUAAGGUAACGGCUUACCAAGGCCACGAUGCAUAGCCGACCUGAGAGGAUGAUCGGCCACACUGGAACUGAGACACGGUCCAGACUCCUACGGGAGGCAGCAGUAGGGAAUCUUCCGCAAUGGGCGAAAGCCUGACGGAGCAACGCCGCGUGAGUGAUGAAGGUCUUCGGAUCGUAAAGCUCUGUUAUUAGGGAAGAACAUAUGUGUAAGUAAAUGUGCACAUAUUGACGGUACCUAAUCAGAAAGCCACGGCUAACUACGUG